UCAUCAACCUAACAAAUCAAAGUCACAUUUCUAGUACUGAAAUAAAAAGCUGAAGUCAAACUAUUGUUCCCUUUGACAACCCCAUCCGCGGACUAUAUAGAUCAUAUCAUCAAACAAAGAAAGCUAAAAACUAACUCCUCUUCUUCGUUACCAACAAAAUCUCCGCAUGCUAGCAAAACACAAGACACAAACAGAGAGACACAAUUCCUCCAGCCAAACAAAGAAGCAGAAACAUCUCAGGUCACUAAAAUCUCCAUAGAUCGAAUAAAAAAACAAAAUAGAUCCAUCGAAUCAGGGAAAGCAUAAAUCCCAAAAGAAAAAAAAAAUAUAAGCACAAAAAGAAAGAAACAAAAACCAGAGAUCUAUAACGCUGAG
rnacentral:misc_RNA from 1 species